CAGCCGCCGCGGGAACACGAAGGGUGCAAGCGUUAAUCGGAAUUACUGGGCGUAAAGCGCGCGUAGGUGGUUUGUUAAGUUGGAUGUGAAAGCCCCGGGCUCAACCUGGGAACUGCAUCCAAAACUGGCAAGCUAGAGUACGGUAGAGGGUGGUGGAAUUUCCUGUGUAGCGGUGAAAUGAGUAGAUAUAGGAAGGAACACCAGUGGCGAAGGCGACCACCUGGACUGAUACUGACACUGAGGUGCGAAAGCGUGGGGAGCAAACAGGAUUAGAUACCCCGGUAGUCCCUGUCUCUUAUAC
rnacentral:rRNA from 1 species